GUAGACAUGGAGACAGAGAGGUCUAACCACAUACAGACAGAGGUAUAAAUGGAGACAGAGAGGUCUAACCACAUACAAACAGAGGUAUAGAUGGAGACAGAGAGGUCUAACCACAUAUAGACAGAGGUAGAGAAAGAGAUGGAGACAGGGGUCUAACCACAUAUAGACAGAGGUAGAGAGAGAGAUGGAGACAGAGGUUUAACCACAUAUAGACAGAGGUAGAGAUGGAGACAGAGAGGUCUAACCACAUAUAGACAGAGGUAGAGAAAGAGAUGGAGACAGAGGUCUAACCACAUACAUACAGAGGUAGAGAUGGAGACAGAGAGGUCUAACCACAUAUAGACAGAGGUAGAGAUGAAGACAGAGAGGUCUAACCACAUAUAGACAGAGGUAGAGAAAGAGAUGGAGACAGAGAGGUCUAACCACAUAUAGACAGAGGUAGAGAUGGAGACAGAGAGGUCUGACCACAUAUAGACAGAGGUAGAGAUGGAGACAGAGAGGUCUGACCACAUAUAGACAGAGGUAUAGAUGGAGACAGAGAGGUCUAACCAAAUCAAAUCAAAUGUAUUUAUAUAGCCCUUCGUACAUCAGCUGAUAUCUCAAAGUGCUGUACAGAAACCCAGCCUAAAACCCCAAACAGCAAGUAAUGCAGGUGUAGAAGGACAUACAGACAGAGGUAGAGAUGGCGAUGGAGACAGAGAGGUCUAACCACAUAUAGACAGAGGUAGAGAUGGAGACAGAGAGGUCUAACCACAUGCAGACAGAGGUAGAGAUGGAGACAGAGAGGUCUAACCACAUACAGACAGAGGUAGAGAUGGAGACAGAGAGGUCUAACCACAUAUAGACAGAGGUAGAGAUGGAGACAGAGAGGUCUAACCACAUACAGACAGAGGUAGAGAUGGAGACAGAGAGGUCUAACCACAUACAGACAGAGGUAGAGAUGGAGACAGAGAGGUCUAACCACAUAUAGACAGAGGUAUAGAUGGAGACAGAGAGGUCUAACCACAUACAGACAGAGGUAGAGAUGGAGAUGGAUAGAGUGAGAUGUCUAACCAGAGAAAGAGAGAAAGAGAGAUUGCUAGCCACAGAUAUCGACAGAGACAGAGAGUGUGAGCCAGGUUUUUGGUCCAGACCCUGGAAAGAAUGUCUAGUUCUCUUCUCUCUCCACUGAUGUCAGCCUUUGAACGGUGGCCAUGUCGCAUUACAUCAUCAAGAGGUUUCCAUGGCACUGCUGAUAGGUUAUCCCAGGAUGGGGUGUCUGGACAGGGGGGCUGGCGGUGGAAGGAGAGGGGGAGGAAGAAAAAGAGAGUAAAUGGAAAGACAUGGAGGAGGAUGAGGUAAAGAUAGAGGGAUGAGUGAGGGAAAUACAGAGGGAGAGAUGAGGGAAAGAAUUGGGGAGAUGGGAGGUAGAAAAACAGUGAGAUGGCAAGUAGGUUGAAGUGAGAAGUAGAUAGGUGGUGAGGAGAGGACUUACAGUAGAGACAGGGUUUUAGAGUAGAUAGGUGGAGAGGAGAGGACUUACAGUAGAGACAGGGGUUAGAGUAGAUAGGUGGAGAGGAGAGGACUUACAGUAGAGACAGGGGUUAGAGUAGAUAGGUGGAGAGGACUUACAGUAGAGACAGGGGUUAGAGUAGAUAGGUGGAGAGGAGAGGACUUACAGUAGAGACAGGGGUUAGAGUAGAUAGGUGGAGAGGAGAGGACUUACAGUAGAGACAGGGGUUAGAGUAGAUAGGCAGAGAGGAGAGGACUUACAGUAGAGACAGGGGUUAGAGUAGAUAGGCAGAGAGGAGAGGACUUACAGUAGAGACAGGGGUUAGAGUAGAUAGGCAGAGAGGAGAGGACUUACAGUAGAGACAGGGGUUAGAGUAGAUAGGUGGAGAGGAGAGGACUUACAGUAGAGACAGGGGUUAGAGUAAGGCUUAGGCAGAGAGGAGAGGACUUACAGUAGAGACAGGGGUUAGUGUAGAUAGGUGGAGAGGAGAGGACUUACAGUAGAGACAGGGGUUAGAGUAGAUAGGUGGAGAGGAGAGGACUUACAGUAGAGACAGGGGUUAGAGUAGAUAGGUGGAGAGGACUUACAGUAGAGACAGGGGUUAGAGUAGAUAGGUGGAGAGGACUUACAGUAGAGACAGGGGUUAGAGUAGAUAGGUGGAGAGGACUUACAGUAGAGACAGGGGUUAGAGUAAGGCUUAGGCAGGGGGAGUAUGGAGUAUAGAUAGAACCUUUUCUUCGAAGAGUGUUGAGCAAAGGAAAGGAGUUUUGCAUGUUCUUUCCUCUUCUUCACUUUUCUCUCUCCUUUGUUGCUUAAUUAUAAUUCCAAAGACUCCCUUUAAAAAGAUUGACAGUAGAGCUAGCAGAAGUCCUAUCAGGAAGAUGUGUCUGUAUUGGAUUAGUGUUUAAGUUCCUGCCCCAUAGGUCAACAAGUGAAAGGAAAAGCAUUUGAUUAAACUUACUACGCCAUUACAUACAUUUUCAUUCACUCCCCUCAAAUGCAUCAAAGUAUUCCUAUUCUUAUUAUAGCUGUUUUAUCUAGUUUUUCCAGCUGGGUGAGUAGUGGUUCAUAAACCCAGCGGACUCCAUGGCCCGUAGUGAGGAGUGGGCAUCAGUGAUGUCAGCAGUUCUCCAUUGGGGCUCCACAGGCUCCUGUUUUAUUGUUUCCCAAUUAUUAGCCCUUAUAGCAGAGCUACUGUAGCAGUCUCUUAGUCAUAAAGCUGAAUUUGCCCCAGCAUAUACAGUAAGUCAUAACUCUAACUUACAUGUUGCCUAACUUUACCUCUAAAAAGUAGAUUUUCACCAGUAUUUGUUUGGGUACUUUAAUAUUUCAUAUACAGUAUAAUACCUGUAAAACUAUAUUUUCCUGUGCAUUGAAACACUUUUUAAACCUUUUUCAGACGUGUGUGGCAGAAAGAGGCAGUAGAUAGUUCUAAAAGCACCCUUGUUGUUGACUGAUGCUAAACAGAUGCUACAGUUCCUUGCAAAACUAUUCAUCCCCUUUGGUGAUUUUCCUAUUUUGUUGCAUUACAACCUGUAAUUUAAAUACAUUUUUAUUUGGAUUUCAUGUAAUUGACAUACACAAAAACGUCCAAAUUAGUGAAGUGAAAUGAACAAAAGAACUUGUUUCAAAAUAUUAAAAUAAAUAAAAAACGGAAAGUGGCGCAUGCAUAUGUAAUGUAUUCAACACCUUUGCAAUAAAAUCUGGUGCAACCAAUUACCUUCAGAAGUCACAUAAUUAGUUAAAUAACGUCCACCUGUGUGCAAUCUGUGUCACAUGAUCUGUCACAUGAUCUCAGUAUAUAUACACCUGUUCUGAAAGGCCCCAGGGUCUGCAACACCAAGCAAGCGGCACUAUGAAGACCAAGGAGCUCUCCAAACAGGUCAGGGACAAAGUUGUGGAGAAGUACAGAUCAGAGUUGAGCUCUAAAAAAAUAUCAGAAACUUUGAACAUCCAACAGAGCACCAUUAAAUCCAUUAUUAAAAAAAUUGAAAGAAUAUGGCAGCACAACAAACCUGCCAAGAGAGGGCUGCCCACCAAAACUCACGGACCUGGCAAGGAGGGCAUUAAUCAGAGAGGCAACAAAGAGACCAAAGAUAACCCUGAAGGAGCUGCAAAGCUCCACAGCGGAGAUUGGAGUAUCUGUCCAUAGGACCACUUUAAGCCGUACACUCCACAGAGCUGGGCUUUACGGAAGAGUGGCCAGAAAACAGACAUUGCUUAAAGAAAAAAAUAAGCAAAUACGUUUGGUGUUCACCAA